UACGGGGGGGAGCAAGCGUUGUUCGGAUUUACUGGGCGUAAAGAGCGUGUAGGCGGCCUUACAGGUCAGCUGUGAAAACUCGACGGCUCAACCUCGAGACGUCGGUUGAAACCGUAAGGCUAGAGUCCGGAAGAGGAGAGUGGAAUUCCCGGUGUAGCGGUGAAAUGCGCAGAGUAUCGGGAAGAACACCAGUGGCGAAGGGCGGACUCACUGGCCCGAUACGUGACGCUGAGGCACGAAAGCGUGGGGAG
rnacentral:rRNA from 1 species